CUAAAAUGAGGAAUACUAUUCCUAAAUCACAGCAGCCUUAUUUAAAUCUCUUUUUUGAUUCUUAUGCCAGCAUACAAAACACUGCCAGAGGCAAAUAAAUGAUUCCCCUCAAGACCGUGAAUCUUGGGACAGAAUUUACCUACUGCAAGCAAAAGAAACAAAUACAUAUUUUCCUAGAUGAAAGGUACUGAAUUUUAAGAUGAAUAUCGUUGCAAUCCAUGAUGCUUGUGCCUUCCUGGACCAACAUUUUUGGGCAUCAAUUCAUUUACCUAGAUAUCUGGCAUCACUGGCAUCCUGGAGAAAUAAAUUCCAAGAUCAAAUUGCAUAACAAGAUUUAUAUCAGGGAUUUCCUGAUACAGGUCUUCUCUAACUGCAGAAUCUGCAGUCAUACUGCAGGACCCAUUAAUGCUAAGUAUUUCACUGUUAUAUAUUUCACUGUUAUUUUUUUCUGGAUUUCACUCCACUAUGGUUUUUCAUUCACUAGUUGCAUGGUUUAUAGAUUACUAUGUAACCUGGGCUUUGUGUUUGAACUCAUCAGGAUCUUGGCAGAAGUGCAAAAAGAGCGUAUUGAAUAAUUGUUGGAAAGUUGUCACCAGCAGUUCCCAUAUGUUUUCUGAAUCCUCCAGCUGAUUUAGUAAGAUCCCUGAAUGUGUCCUGAUAUCUAUAUAUCUGGUUAUGUUUCAGAAUUAUAGCUCUGAAAUGUGUAUUAAUAGUUAAUUAAGCAUUAGCCAAAGAAAAUUGAUUAUGAAAGAGUUAAAAGAUGGUGUGUGGGUAAAAUUCUGGUUUUUACUUACAACAUUUGAAAUUUAGUGGUCCUAAUUUUUUCAAGCACUUAAAACCAUGCAGCCUUGCAGCAUUCUUACCAUCUUUGCUAAUAAAAUGAACAUGGGUGUGUUCGCCAACUUAAUUGCGAACACUUUGUUCUCAACCAUAAAUCAGUAUUAACAAAUCCCUGAAUUAAUCUGCAGUUUAAAGGAGUCAAGCACCCUGUGGUUGCUGGAGGAUGGCUUGCUCCUGCUGGGAAGCAGCCUAAGGUUAUGGUGGUGGAAGGGGCUGAAGGUGGAAGAAUGGUGUCUGCAUGUGACCACCAGCAGAGACACAUCUCAGAGUUACCUGCUCAGCAGAACCAGCAGGCAUCCACGAACAACAAGGAGCUAUUCCAGGAUCACACAAGUCUCAGAGCAACCCUGGCUUCCAGUAUGGGUCCAACUGGCUGUAUUUAAACACUUGUCUAAGUCACAUGAACUGCAUUAGUGUGAUUCCUUUAUUUUCUCUGUAUCCUGCUAAUGUUCUUUUCAGUUUUGCAAAUGUAGUUCAACAAAUAUUAAGAUAACUAGAGGAGAACUUCUGAAUUUUCAAGGUCUGUUUUCUGCUAUCACAAUAAACACAUUUGCACCUG